rnacentral:rRNA from 1 species
GACGUAGGGCGCGAGCGUGUCCGGAUUUAUUGGGCGUAAAGAGCUCGUAGGCGGCUUGUUGCGUCGACUGUGAAAACCCGCGGCUCAACCGUGUGGUCUGCAGUAGAUACGGGCAGGCUGGAGUUCGGUAGGGGAGACUGGAAUUCCUGGUGUAGCGGUGAAAUGCGCAGAUAUCAGGAAGAACACCCGUGGCGAAGGCGGCUCUCUGGGACGGUACUGACGGCUGAGACGCGAAAGCGUGGGGAGCGAACAGG